GACGAACGCUGGCGGCGUGCCUAACACAUGCAAGUCGAACGGAAAGGCCCUGCUUUUGUGCGGCGCUCGUGUGGCGAACGGGUGAGUAACACGUGAGUAACCCGUACCUGUCUUUGGGGUAUCUUCAGGAAACAGGGGCUCUUAUAGGAUAGGAGCUCUUGCUGCAUGGUGGGCGUUGGUAAGUUUCGGCGGUUGGGGAUGGACUGGCGGCUUAUCGGCUUGAUGGUGGGGUAGUGGCUUACCAAGUUUUUGACGGGUAGCCGGCCUGGGAGGGCGACCGGCCACAAGGGGACUGAGAUAGGGCCCAGACGGGAACGGGAGGCAACGGGGGAGAGUAUGACACAGUAGGGGGGAGCCAGAGACGACAGCGCCGCGUGCGGGAAGACGUGUUACGAGUGGUAAACCACUGUCUCCUGAGACGAGGCGGUAGUGACGGUAAUGGGUAAAGAAGCACCGGCUAACUACGUG
rnacentral:rRNA from 1 species